AUGGGUGUGACUGAAGACUACUGACCACACUACAGCUGUUGGUUUCAAGCAGGGACCCCAAGGACUCUCAUCCUGGGGUCUUUAGCUGUUCCAGAACCUCAGCAGAGAAUGGCCUUUUCAUUUGGAAGAAACAACC
ensembl:snoRNA